ACCGGCACGGGCAAAGCCGACAGCUCGCAAGCAGCUUUUCCAAAAAAAAAAAAAAAACAAGCUCAGAAAUAACCCAAAAGGCUGCACCCUCCAGCAGGGAAACCUCAUGUGGACGAGAACACAGAAGGGAACACUUGCUGAGUGAAAUACCUCCGAAAAGAACCGCAGUUUGCACAUUUUCAGGAUUUUUUCUCCAACGUUGCCAGUUGAACCCGACGCGGACGCCGGGGAGCACGCUGGGCUGGGCAAGGCUCCCUUUUCUGAGCAGCUGUGAAGGGAGGAAUGAAGAGCAACAAGCCCGGCCUCCCCCCAGCAAGCAUGUCCAAUGUCCAAACCUUCGUGGACUGACCAAGGGAAGGAAAUUUUUUAUUGAUUUUCGACCUCUUCUAGGAAAAGAAAUGCAGUUUUGGAGUGG
rnacentral:lncRNA from 1 species